UACGGGGGGGGCAAGCGUUGUUCGGAAUUACUGGGCGUAAAGGGCUCGUAGGUGGCCAACUAAGUCAGACGUGAAAUCCCUCGGCUUAACCGGGGAACUGCGUCUGAUACUGGAUGGCUUGAGUUCGGGAGAGGGAUGCGGAAUUCCAGGUGUAGCGGUGAAAUGCGUAGAUAUCUGGAGGAACACCGGUGGCGAAGGCGGCAUCCUGGACCGACACUGACGCUCAUGCACGAAAGCGUGGGGAGCAAACAGG
rnacentral:rRNA from 1 species